UUGGCGGACUCGGAAGGCAGCGGGCGGGACGGAUGGCGCAGAUUGGUGUCAUGAAAGGGGCCGAGUCGAAAGGGGCGUAACCCAGAUGAGCGAUUGGCGGAGUGAGAAAAUGAAGGAGCCCUCACCCUCCCACUCCCACCUCCACCACAAGAUACUCACAUCUGUCUUCAUAUCAAUUUUGGCAGGUUUCAGAAUCAGGUCCUCCCGAACAAUGCUACUGGGGAAAUAGCCCAGGCGGGCAGCCGCGUCUCCAUAGUAAUCUCCCUGAACCUGGAGAAGAACUUGUAAG